UACGUAGGGUGCAAGCGUUGUCCGGAUUUAUUGGGGUUUAAAGGGUGCGUAGGCGGCUUUGUAAGUCAGUGGUGAAAUACUCUAGCUUAACUAGAGGGGUGCCAUUGAUACUGCGGAGCUUGAGUACAGAUGAGGUAGGCGGAAUUGACGGUGUAGCGGUGAAAUGCAUAGAUAUCGUCAAGAACACCGAUAGCGAAGGCAGCUUACUGGGCUGUAACUGACGCUGAUGCACGAAAGUGUGGGGAUCAAACAGG
rnacentral:rRNA from 1 species